GAUGAACGCUGGCGGCGUGCCUAAUACAUGCAAGUCGAGCGAACAGAUAAGGAGCUUGCUCCUUUGACGUUAGCGGCGGACGGGUGAGUAACACGUGGGUAACCUACCUAUAAGACUUGGAUAACUUCGGGAAACCGGAGCUAAUACCGGAUCACAUUUGGUACCGCAUUGUUCUAAAGUUAAUGAUGGUUUUGCUAUCUCUUAUAGAUGGACCCGCGCCGUAUUAGCUAGUUGGUAAGGUAACGGCUUACCAAGGCGACGAUACGUAGCCGACCUGAGAGGGUGAUCGGCCACACUGGAACUGAGACACGGUCCAGACUCCUACGGGAGGCAGCAGUAGGGAAUAUUCCGCAAUAGGCGAAAGCCUGACGGAGCAACGCCGCGUGAGUGAUGAAGGGUUUCGGCUCGUAAAACUCUGUUAUUAGGGAAGAACAAAUGUGUAAGUAAAUGUGCACGUCUUGACGGUACCUAAUCAGAAAGCCACGGCUAACUACGUG
rnacentral:rRNA from 1 species